ACGAACGCUGGCGGCGUGCUUAACACAUGCAAGUCGAGCGGUAAGGCCUUUCGGGGUACACGAGCGGCGAACGGGUGAGUAACACGUGGGUGAUCUGCCCUGCACUCUGGGAUAAGCCUGGGAAACUGGGUCUAAUACUGGAUAUGUGACGUGACCGCAUGGUCUGCGUCUGGAAAGAUUUUUCGGUUGGGGAUGGGCUCGCGGCCUAUCAGCUUGUUGGUGAGGUAAUGGCUCACCAAGGCGUCGACGGGUAGCCGGCCUGAGAGGGUGACCGGCCACACUGGGACUGAGACACGGCCCAGACUCCUACGGGAGGCAGCAGUGGGGAAUAUUGCACAAUGGGCGCAAGCCUGAUGCAGCAACGCCGCGUGAGGGAUGACGGCCUUCGGGUUGUAAACCUCUUUUAGCAGGGAAGAAGCGAAAGUGACGGUACCUGCAGAAAAAGCGCCGGCUAACUACGU
rnacentral:rRNA from 1 species